AUUGAACGCUGGCGGCAGGCCUAACACAUGCAAGUCGAGCGGAUGAAGGGAGCUUGCUCCUGGAUUCAGCGGCGGCCGGGUGAGUAAUGCCUAUGAAUCUGCCUGGUAGUGGGGGAUAACGUCCGGAAACGGGCGCUAAUACUGCAUACGUCCUGAGGGAGAAUGUGGGGGAUCUUCGGACCUCACGCUAUCAGAUGAGCCUAGGUCGGAUUAGCUAGUUGGUGGGGUAAAGGCCUACCAAGGCGACGAUCCGUAACUGGUCUGAGAGGAUGAUCAGUCACACUGGAACUGAGACACGGUCCAGACUCCUACGGGAGGCAGCAGUGGGGAAUCUUGGACAAUGGGCGAAAGCCUGAUCCAGCCAUGCCGCGUGUGUGAAGAAGGUCUUCGGAUUGUAAAGCACUUUAAGUUGGGAGGAAGGGCAGUAAGUUAAUACCUUGCUGUUUUGACGUUACCAACAGAAUAAGCACCGGCUAACUUCGUG
rnacentral:rRNA from 1 species